rnacentral:sRNA from 12 species
CUGCGUUAGCGGUUGAAGUGGCAUCCUUUUUAUUUGUCUCCUCGAGCGCAGUCGAGAGGUUGACAAAUAAAAAGAUAUAACGGAAAACGCGACCCUUG